rnacentral:rRNA from 1 species
GAUGAACGCUGGCGGCGUGCCUAAUACAUGCGAGUCGAGCGAACAGACGAGGAGCUUGCUCCUCUGACGUUAGCGGCGGACGGGUGAGUAACACGUGGAUAACCUACCUAUAAGACUGGGAUAACUUCGGGAAACCGGAGCUAAUACCGGAUAAUAUAUUAAACCGCAUGGUUCAAUAGUGAAAGACGGUUUUGCUGUCACUUAUAGAUGGAUCCGCGCCGCAUUAGCUAGUUGGUAAGGUAACGGCUUACCAAGGCAACGAUGCGUAGCCGACCUGAGAGGGUGAUCGGCCACACUGGAACUGAGACACGGUCCAGACUCCUACGGGAGGCAGCAGUAGGGAAUCUUCCGCAAUGGGCGAAAGCCUGACGGAGCAACGCCGCGUGAGUGAUGAAGGUCUUCGGAUCGUAAAACUCUGUUAUUAGGGAAGAACAAAUGUGUAAGUAACUAUGCACGUCUUGACGGUACCUAAUCAGAAAGCCACGGCUAACUACGUG